UUACUUACCUGGACGGGGUCGACGGGCGAUCAACAAGGCCCGUGGCCUGGGUCAAUGGCCCACAUUGCACUUGGUGGGUGCGUUGGCCCAUCAUCUCCCCAAGUGGGAGAGUAAACGUCGUAAUUUGUGCUAGAGGGGGUACGCGUUCGCGCGGCCCCUGC
rnacentral:snRNA from 1 species